GACGAACGCUGGCAGCGUGCCUAAUACAUGCAAGUAGAACGCAGUUGCGAACGGGUGAGUAACGCGUAGGUAACUGCCUCCUUGCUUGGGAUAACUAUUGGAAACGAUAGCUAAUACCGCAUACUGUGAGCUGGACCUGCGUUGUCUUAGCUAGUUGGUGAGGUAAAGGCUCACAAAGGCGACGAUACCUAGCCGAACUGAGAGGGUGAUCGGCCGGACUGGGACUCAGAGAAGGCCCAGACUCCUACGGGAGGCAGCGGUAGGGAAUGUGCGGCAAUGGACGGAAGUCGGACCGGGCAACGCCGCGUGAGUGAAGAGGGUGUUCGGAUCGUAAAGCUCUGAUGUUAGAGAAGCGGUAGCUAACCAGAAAGGGACGGCUAACUACGUGCCAGCAGCCGCGGUAAUUC
rnacentral:rRNA from 1 species